GAGAGAGAGAUUUUGCAGGACAAGCCAUGAGGCAAGAACCAAGGCUGGGGACCUGUCUGUCAAUCAAGAAGAAGGUUCUAAAUGGAAUGUUCCCAGGAGAAGAGGCAGUUGAGCCUGAUUGAAGCGGGAAGAAGCUGAGAACUGAUCCAUCCUCCCAAAUGCCAAGCUAGCUCUGGCAAUGCUUUCAUCAACCUCAUCAUCAAUGUGGACAUCCCUGGGAAGUAUACUGCCAAGGGCUUAGCCCUAGUAAUAAUAUCACGAGGUCAAAGAGCCUGCCCAGUUCAGAAGCUUUUGGAGCAGAGUGUCAAAAUGCCUUCCAGAAUGGUUGGACUAGUGCUCAGCACCACCAAGAUAAAGAAACUGAAGCUCAUAGAGGUUCAGUAUCCUGGCCAAAGUCCCAGAGGCAGUAAGUGUCAGAACAAGAAUACAAGAUCAGGUGUCUUCUGACUCCAGGGCCACCACACCAGGCUCCAUACAUCACGAAUGACCUCCAAAGAAAGUCAUCCUUACAGAUGUGUGAUCCCAAACAAGUCAAUAAUUCUUGCCUGAGACUCAAUUUCUCCAUCUGCCAAAUAGGGACAAUAAUACUUUUACAGCCUGCUCAUAAACUCUAUUAUAUGAAAAGUACUUUAUAAAUCUUGAGACAUAAA
rnacentral:lncRNA from 1 species